GCCGUUGUAGCUCAGAUGGUAGAGCAACUCCAUGGUAAGGAGUAGGUCGCCGGUUCAAUUCCGGCCAACGGCU
rnacentral:tRNA from 2 species